ACGCGAAGAACCUUACCUACCCUUGACAUGUCAGAAAGUUUUCAGAGAUGAAUUCGUACCCGAAAGGGAAUCUGAACACAGGUGCUGCAUGGCUGUCGUCAGCUCGUGUCGUGAGAUGUUGGGUUAAGUCCCGCAACGAGCGCAACCCUUGUCAUUAAUUGCCAUCAUUUAGUUGGGCACUUUAAUGAGACUGCCGGUGACAAACCGGAGGAAGGUGGGGAUGACGUCAAGUCCUCAUGGCCCUUAUGGGUAGGGCUUCACACGUAAUACAAUGGCGCGUACAGAGGGUUGCCAACCCGCGAGGGGGAGCUAAUCUCAGAAAGCGCGUCGUAGUCCGGAUCGGAGUCUGCAACUCGACUCCGUGAAGUCGGAAUCGCUAGUAAUCGCGGAUCAAGCAUGUCGCGGUGAAUACGUUCCCGGGUCUUGUACACACCGCCCGUCACACCAUGGGAAUGGGUUCCACCAGAAGCAGGUAGUCUAACCGCAAGGAGGGCGCUUGCCACGGUGAGAUUCAUGACUGGGGUGAAGUCGUAACAAGGUAGCCGUAGGGGAACCUGCGGCUGGAUCACCUCCUU
rnacentral:rRNA from 1 species